CUGCUCUUGUCACGACUGCUACCAAGGUUGAGGACCCAAAUGCAACAAGGUGCACCGCGACAAAAGUAACAAUGAUUGAGAAAGGGACUGAACCAAGGCAAGGAUUUAAAUACACAAGACUAACAAGAAACAAGUGGGCAGGGAACAAGGUAGAACGAGAGGCAGGAGAACAUUGGACAAGACAAAAAUCAACCACAAACUAAUAAAAAGACUCAGGUGAGUAGGGGACAAGGUACAAAACACAAACCAGGAAAUACACAAGGGGCUAAGACAGGAACACAAACAGGUAAACAUAAACACAUAGCAGGAGAAGACAGAAGACAAGACACGGCACAGACAUAGCAAAAUACAAAGGGGAUCUACAAGGUCAGGGAAGGACAGGAAGAGACAUGGAAAACACAGGAAGUUCAAGCCCAGGAGAUACCACUGAAAAACCAAACUAAAAGUCCAACAGGUGAGGUGAAACACAAAACCCAGAACCUUGACAGCCCUUCCAUUCCUUGAUCUGAGGAAUAGGAGAAGAUCCGUCUAGCUGCAGGAUUCACGACUUGAGAAUGAGCAGAUUAAUCAUCAGCCCCUUCCGUUCAGAGUAGCCUUAGAGACGGGCACGUUUCUAGAAAGACCUGUUCCAAGCAUUCCGCAUAAAUGACUCGAGUGAGCUCCCCUAAUAGGAACUUGCGAAAUACAGCCUCGUAGCCGCCUGCUACACACAUGCAGUAACAGUACCAGUUUAGAGCGGAUUUGCUGCAAAUUGCUGAACAGUUUAAUCACAGUUUGUGAUACAGGACGGCGUGCAAAUGAUCUUCCUGGGAAAUCUCAUCCAGUUCAUCAGUGCAACUUAUUUUGUCAUUGGAAACCACAUGAUAUCGGAACCCGGGACAUUGCUCAGGUGCUGUGGACAGGAGGCCUAUAAUGUGGACCGGCAGUUGUGCUGUGGACGUCUGCGCAGUGAGAAGAUCCUUAAGAAGGAACACAAGGACAGCGUUUGCUGUGGAGACGUCCAGUACAACCCACAGACACAGCGCUGCUGCGGAGAUCCUCCUGAAAUAAAUGAACUCUCAGUUUCCUGUGAGACGGACUGUAAACAGGUUUUGACCCAAGAGCCCACAGGAAACAACAUGAUCCCGGAACCCCGGACAUUGUACAAGUGCUGUGGACAGGAGACCUAUAAUGAGGACCGGCAGUUGUGCUGUGGACGUCUGGGCAGUGAGAAGAUCCUUAUGAAGGAACACAAGGACAGCAUUUGCUGUGGAGACGUCCAGUACAACCCACAGACACAGCGCUGCUGCGGAGAUCCUCCUGAAAUAAAUGACCUCUCAAUUUCCUGUGAGACGGACUGUAAACAGGUUUUGACCCAAGAGCCUACAGCAAACAACAGGAUGUCGGGACCCCGGACAUUGUCCAAGUGCUGUGGACAGGAGGCCUAUAAUGUGGACCGGCAGUUGUGCUGUGGAAGUCUGCGCAAUGUGACGAUCCUUAUAAAGGAACAGAAGGGCAGCAUUUGCUGUGGAGACGUCCAGUACAACCCAGAGAAACAGGGCUGCUGUGGAGAUCCUCCUAAAAUAAAGGAACCCUCAGUUCCCUAUGAAACAGACUCAGAACAGGGUUUGACCCAAGAGCCCACAGUAAACAACAUGAUCCCGACACCCGGGACAUUGUCGAAGUGCUGUGGACUGGAGGCCUAUAAUGUGUACCGGCAGUUGUGCUGUGGAAGUCUGAGCAGUCAGAAGAUCCUUAUGAAGGAACACAAGGACAGCGUCUGCUGUGGAGACGUCCAGUACAACCCACAGAAACAGUGCUGUUGCGGGGAUCCUCCUAAAAUAAAUGAACUCUCAGUUUCCUAUGAGACCCAAGGGCCCACAGCAAACCACAUGGUGUCGGAACCCGGAACAUUGUCUAAGUACUGUGGACAGGAGGCCUAUAAUGAGGACCGGCAGUUGUGCUGUGGAAGUCUGCACAAUGCGAAGAUCCUUAUGAAGGAACAGAAGGAAAGCCUUUGCUGUGGAGACGUCCAGUACAACCCAGAGACACAGGGCUGCUGUGGAGAUCCUCCUGAAAUAAAAGACCUCUUAGAUUAACUGUGAGACGGACUGAAAACAGGGUUCGACCCGUCUCCUUCAACCCACUGCUCUUUUGAACAUAGCACCUUUUCAAUCAAGGAAAAAAAUAUUUGCUUUGACUAGCACUAUCUAACUGUUUGUAAUUGUGUCAAACUUGAAGAUCCUUUAUUUCCUUGAAAAAGAUUGCUUAUUUUGUCUUAUCUAAGUUGUUAAUUUUCUCUGCAAACGGGAAAUAUUUUUGAAUGUAGAACAGUGCAAAUGUAGAAGCGAAUAUGCCCAAAUAUACCUGCCCCUUUACAUUUGUCCAUGUUAUGAUUAUUACUUUUAUCCUGCAAGUUUAGCUCAGGAACAAUACUAUACAAUGGUGUAUUCCCUUUUUGCUAGUUAAAGCACAAUGAAAUGGUUAAUUCUAGGGAUGGGCGUGAGGAAUCGAUUACACGAGUACUCGUUACUCGGGACAAGCAAACUCGAGUUUGCAUACACACACAGACAACUUUUCUGAAGCAAAUGCAGUGUUUCCCCUACCAUUGUUCAGGCCUGGCGGGCCGCCAGGCCAACGAGCGCCCCCGCCAGGCCAACAACAGGCCAAAAAAAAAAAAUAAUAAUAAUAAUAAUGAAAAGAAAAGAAAAAAAAAGUGUCGCGCGUGCGCAGAUUAUGCCCCAUCAUAACGGACAAUCUGACAGCAUUAAGUUAUAUCAUCAUUAGCAUGGCACUGUCACACUAAAUUUGUACCGGCUGCCAAAUACGUAAUCCAUUCCAAACCUGCCCGGCAACAGAUGAUCAGAACCUUUUCGAAUGACGUGAAAGGUUCACGAACAUUCGCGAACCUUCUAUCUAGCGAUCCGUUAUCUGUAUUGUGCUAUUUCGUCCUUGACCUGCUAUAAACACUCAGUUUACUUGCUAAAUUUGAUUAAACAAUGAAAUACAAUACAAAUAUAAAGUAAAAACAAGUGUUAUCUAGCGAUCCGUUUUCUGUAUUAUGUUAUUUCGUCUUUGGCAACAUGAGCGCAAAUGUUUUUUGAAACCCGCUUUAAACACUCAGUUUACUAGCUAAAUUUGAUUAAAAAAUGAAAUACAAUACAAAUA
ensembl:lncRNA